GGAUCUGAAGGUGAUCUGGCUGCAACAUCUGUCACCCCAUUGAUGACCAGGGUUGAUUCGGCUGAUCUGGCUGAAUAGCCAGGUGUCCCCUUCCUCCCUCACUGCUCCUUGUGCAUCCCUCCCGAAGCUGCACGCCUGGUCACACAGGAUGACUUUCCCCUAGAGGAGGACCAUUCAUUGGUCAAGGGUAUACCGGGAGCUGCGCACCCCUGCUAGAACCUCCAAACAAGGUCUCAGGGUCCAUUUGUAGGAGAACAUAGGGUAGCGAAGCUUUCAAGACUCCAGACACCUCCAAAUGCAGCACUGCAUACGACGGUCUGCCUUUCUUA
ensembl:misc_RNA 7SK 7SK RNA